rnacentral:rRNA from 1 species
AAAAAAGGUAAGCUACUAAGAGCGAAUGGUGGAUGCCUUGACUGGUAAAGGCGAUGAAGGACGUACUAGACUGCGAUAAGCUACGGGGAGCUGUCAAGAAGCUUUGAUCCGUAGAUUUCCGAAUGGGGCAACCCAAUGUAUAGAGAUAUACAUUACCUAUAUAGGAGCGAACGAGGGGAAUUGAAACAUCUUAGUACCCUCAGGAAAAGAAAUCAAUAGAGAUUGCGUCAGUAGCGGCGAGCGAAAGCGCAAGAGGGC